GGCGUGGUGUAGUGGCCUAACAUACCGGCCUGUCAAGCCGGAGAUCGGGGGUUCGAAUCCCCUCCG
rnacentral:tRNA from 1 species